GAUUCGCCUUGAACAGCCUGUAAUCCCAUUCAGACUUCCUUCGAAGCGACAUCGAUUGGUCAGGAGCCUUGCACAAGCAUCCAUGGACGUAAUCGAAGGAUACGUGCACUUGCCGCUCUCUCUCCCUCAGGAGUUUCGCCUUCGCUCGGCUGGCUCCAUAAAUUUGCAGCGCCAAAGUGAUAAUGAAAGUGUUUCCUUCCGUUUUGGCCAAACAAUGUGCCAAGAAAAGCGACACGAGCCAGGCGAAAAGCCCAAGGGUGGAGGAGCAGAAAUGCAUAAAAAAGUCCGUGGUAUUCUUAAUGCUCUAUCUCCAGAUUCAAAAGGGUUUAAUUACGGUAAAUAUUUUAAGGAUUAUUUCUUUUUAAGGCUAUUAUACUUUUCGCUUUCAAUAAAAAAAACCUUGUCAGACUUGAAAUGAAAAGAUAUUAUAAUAACUAUAGAGUCCUUUCUUCAGCAA